UUAAGUUAUUAAGGGCGCACGGUGGAUGCCUUGGCACUAGAAGCCGAUGAAGGACGUUACUAACGACGAUAUGCUUUGGGGAGCUGUAAGUAAGCUUUGAUCCAGAGAUUUCCGAAUGGGGAAACCCAGCAUGAGUUAUGUCAUGUUAUCGAUAUGUGAAUACAUAGCAUAUCAGAAGGCACACCCGGAGAACUGAAACAUCUUAGUACCCGGAGGAAGAGAAAGAAAAUUCGAUUCCCUUAGUAGCGGCGAGCGAAACGGGAAGAGCCCAAACCAACAAGCUUGCUUGUUGGGGUUGUAGGACACUCUAUACGGAGUUACAAAGGACGACAUUAGACGAAUCAUCUGGAAAGAUGAAUCAAAGAAGGUAAUAAUCCUGUAGUCGAAAAUGUUGUCUCUCUUGAGUGGAUCCUGAGUACGACGGAGCACGUGAAAUUCCGUCGGAAUCUGGGAGGACCAUCUCCUAAGGCUAAAUACUCUCUAGUGACCGAUAGUGAACCAGUACCGUGAGGGAAAGGUGAAAAGCACCCCGGAAGGGGAGUGAAAUAGAACCUGAAACCGUGUGCUUACAAGUAGUCAGAGCCCGUUAAUGGGUGAUGGCGUGCCUUUUGUAGAAUGAACCGGCGAGUUACGAUUUGAUGCAAGGUUAAGCAGUAAAUGUGGAGCCGUAGCGAAAGCGAGUCUGAAUAGGGCGUUUAGUAUUUGGUCGUAGACCCGAAACCAGGUGAUCUACCCUUGGUCAGGUUGAAGUUCAGGUAACACUGAAUGGAGGACCGAACCGACUUACGUUGAAAAGUGAGCGGAUGAACUGAGGGUAGCGGAGAAAUUCCAAUCGAACCUGGAGAUAGCUGGUUCUCUCCGAAAUAGCUUUAGGGCUAGCCUCAAGUGAUGAUUAUUGGAGGUAGAGCACUGUUUGGACGAGGGGCCCCUCUCGGGUUACCGAAUUCAGACAAACUCCGAAUGCCAAUUAAUUUAACUUGGGAGUCAGAACAUGGGUGAUAAGGUCCGUGUUCGAAAGGGAAACAGCCCAGACCACCAGCUAAGGUCCCAAAAUAUAUGUUAAGUGGAAAAGGAUGUGGCGUUGCCCAGACAACUAGGAUGUUGGCUUAGAAGCAGCCAUCAUUUAAAGAGUGCGUAAUAGCUCACUAGUCGAGUGACACUGCGCCGAAAAUGUACCGGGGCUAAACAUAUUACCGAAGCUGUGGAUUGUCCUUUGGACAAUGGUAGGAGAGCGUUCUAAGGGCGUUGAAGCAUGAUCGUAAGGACAUGUGGAGCGCUUAGAAGUGAGAAUGCCGGUGUGAGUAGCGAAAGACGGGUGAGAAUCCCGUCCACCGAUUGACUAAGGUUUCCAGAGGAAGGCUCGUCCGCUCUGGGUUAGUCGGGUCCUAAGCUGAGGCCGACAGGCGUAGGCGAUGGAUAACAGGUUGAUAUUCCUGUACCACCUAUAAUCGUUUUAAUCGAUGGGGGGACGCAGUAGGAUAGGCGAAGCGUGCGAUUGGAUUGCACGUCUAAGCAGUAAGGCUGAGUAUUAGGCAAAUCCGGUACUCGUUAAGGCUGAGCUGUGAUGGGGAGAAGACAUUGUGUCUUCGAGUCGUUGAUUUCACACUGCCGAGAAAAGCCUCUAGAUAGAAAAUAGGUGCCCGUACCGCAAACCGACACAGGUAGUCAAGAUGAGAAUUCUAAGGUGAGCGAGCGAACUCUCGUUAAGGAACUCGGCAAAAUGACCCCGUAACUUCGGGAGAAGGGGUGCUCUUUAGGGUUAACGCCCAGAAGAGCCGCAGUGAAUAGGCCCAAGCGACUGUUUAUCAAAAACACAGGUCUCUGCUAAACCGUAAGGUGAUGUAUAGGGGCUGACGCCUGCCCGGUGCUGGAAGGUUAAGAGGAGUGGUUAGCUUCUGCGAAGCUACGAAUCGAAGCCCCAGUAAACGGCGGCCGUAACUAUAACGGUCCUAAGGUAGCGAAAUUCCUUGUCGGGUAAGUUCCGACCCGCACGAAAGGCGUAACGAUUUGGGCACUGUCUCAACGAGAGACUCGGUGAAAUCAUAGUACCUGUGAAGAUGCAGGUUACCCGCGACAGGACGGAAAGACCCCGUGGAGCUUUACUGUAGCCUGAUAUUGAAAUUCGGCACAGCUUGUACAGGAUAGGUAGGAGCCUUUGAAACGUGAGCGCUAGCUUACGUGGAGGCGCUGGUGGGAUACUACCCUAGCUGUGUUGGCUUUCUAACCCGCACCACUUAUCGUGGUGGGAGACAGUGUCAGGCGGGCAGUUUGACUGGGGCGGUCGCCUCCUAAAAGGUAACGGAGGCGCUCAAAGGUUCCCUCAGAAUGGUUGGAGAUCAUUCAUAGAGUGUAAAGGCAUAAGGGAGCUUGACUGCGAGACCUACAAGUCGAGCAGGGUCGAAAGACGGACUUAGUGAUCCGGUGGUUCCGCAUGGAAGGGCCAUCGCUCAACGGAUAAAAGCUACCCCGGGGAUAACAGGCUUAUCUCCCCCAAGAGUUCACAUCGACGGGGAGGUUUGGCACCUCGAUGUCGGCUCAUCGCAUCCUGGGGCUGUAGUCGGUCCCAAGGGUUGGGCUGUUCGCCCAUUAAAGCGGUACGCGAGCUGGGUUCAGAACGUCGUGAGACAGUUCGGUCCCUAUCCGUCGUGGGCGUAGGAAAUUUGAGAGGAGCUGUCCUUAGUACGAGAGGACCGGGAUGGACAUACCUCUGGUGUACCAGUUGUCGUGCCAACGGCAUAGCUGGGUAGCUAUGUGUGGACGGGAUAAGUGCUGAAAGCAUCUAAGCAUGAAGCCCCCCUCAAGAUGAGAUUUCCCAACUUCGGUUAUAAGAUCCCUCAAAGAUGAUGAGGUUAAUAGGUUCGAGGUGGAAGCAUGGUGACAUGUGGAGCUGACGAAUACUAAUCGAUCGAAGACUUAAUCAA
rnacentral:rRNA from 1 species